rnacentral:lncRNA from 1 species
GGGGGGGGGACAACAACCAUCGAUACACAGAUUAACAAACUUAAAAAUUAUCAGAACAAAUUAGAUCUCUAGGGUUUAUGUUCAAACAACAAUAAAUCUUUCUUUCUCGACAACCAAGUAAAUUUCACAACACAAAAAUGAUAGAAAAUGAACAAAAACAAACGGAAGAUAGAUUAGGAAAGUGAUUUGCGAUUGAAAAACAUAAAAUCUUAUCUUCUUGCUGAGCCAGUAGACUUCGCAACAGAAAACGGCAAAAAUCAACAAAAAAUCAAUGCACUUAUUAGGGAAAUAGAAAUUAUCAAAACCAAUUUGAUCUAAAGGGUUUAUGUUCGAACAACAGUAAAUAUUACCUUUUGAGUGAUCCAAUAGAUUUUGCAACACAAAAUAGGUAGAAAAUGAACAAGAACAAAUAGAGGAUAAAUUAGGAAACGAGUUCACACGAGUGAAUUAACAAAGUUUCUGCGAACGAGAGUGAAGAAUAUGAAAAGAUGAUUUCUAGGGCUUUUUCUUUGACUAGAAGACGGAUACAAAUAAAUGGAAGCGAUAAUACAAAGAGUGUAGAUAGAGAGAUUCUUAGGUCUCAUGUACAAUGAAAGUAGAGAGCAA